UUUCACAAAAAGCCACAUUUAAGUAAGUACGCAUAGGUGUAGAAAUAAUUAGAGUUAGCCAACUUUAGUACAAAUAUGUAUGUACUCAACUUUACGAAGAAAGCGCUUUGGAUGUAUGCAUUCUAGAUCAGUUGCUCGUUCCUUUUGCAUAACAUAAAGUUCCUUGGCAGUAAUUUUUCUGCUAUCCGCUAACCGCUAGCAUGACAAUGUUGGAUGUUGACGGCGAUAAAAUAUAAAGCGGAAGCGAAUUUUUCACGCAACUAAUGAGUUUUUCAUGCCGCAACUAGCUGCCAUCGCACAAACCAAUCGAACACUCAGCUCUUCGUCGCUUCCGUUGACUGCGCACACUUUAUUUUUGCUUUUAUUUUAUAUCCUAUUUCAUUUUAGCCUUCUCUUCCAUUUAUGUAUAUAUACCGUUGAAUUUAAAUGAAGUCCUUGGAGUCCGUUUACAUGCUUAGAGGAGAAUGCUUUGAUGCCUUGCAAAUCGUUGGCGGAAAAACGUAGAAAUCAAACCAUGUGGAAUGUACUAAAUGUAGCUUAGUAUAUAUGUACAUGUAUGAGUAUUUCAGCACUGAUGCUACCCAUGAUGUAAGUUCUUUUUCUCUCGAAAUGUAAAAUGGAAAAAACUAAUGACAGAUUCGUGAAUGCAUAAAAACUAAUGGUUUGUGAGCAAGCAGAAAAAUCAGCAAUCAACUGAAUGUAAUAGAAGUUGUCGAAAAAAAGAAUGUUGCUGGAGAAAUUACUGCGGCGCAUUGGAAAGGUGUAUGGGAUAAUGGCCAAAUGUUGAAUGAAAAUUGCAUUCUAAAGUGGCCGUCUAGAGUGGUCGUAUAAAGCAUUCAAGGUUUCUCCGUUGAUAUUUGAAUAGCAGAAUAAGCUGCAUCAUUUCGUUUAAUGUGGCAAUUGCAAAUGAAAUGUGUGUAUGUAGUUACAUAAAUUCUCUAAGAUGCCUUUAAGGUUAAAAUUUUAAGCAAUCACCAUAAGAAACAAAAAUAUUUCUUAUACAAAAAUAAACACUC